rnacentral:rRNA from 1 species
AACGUAGGAGACAAACGUUAUCCGGAGUUACUGGGCGUAAAGAGCGCGCAGGCGGUCGUGUAAGUCGAAUGUGAAAGCCCCUGGCUCAACUAGGGAGAGUCAUUCGAUACUGUUCGACUCGAAGGCAGGAGAGGGAAGUGGAAUUCCGGGUGUAGUGGUGAAAUGCGUAGAUAUCCGGAGGAACACCAGUGGCGAAGGCGACUUUCUGGCCUGUUCUUGACGCUGAGGCGCGAAAGCUAGGGGAGCAAACGGG